AGUGAACGCUGGCGGUAGGCCUAACACAUGCAAGUCGAACGGCAGCACAGUAAGAGCUUGCUCUUACGGGUGGCGAGUGGCGGACGGGUGAGGAAUACAUCGGAAUCUACUUUUUCGUGGGGGAUAACGUAGGGAAACUUACGCUAAUACCGCAUACGACCUACGGGUGAAAGCAGGGGAUCUUCGGACCUUGCGCGAUUGAAUGAGCCGAUGUCGGAUUAGCUAGUUGGCGGGGUAAAGGCCCACCAAGGCGACGAUCCGUAGCUGGUCUGAGAGGAUGAUCGGCCACACUGGAACUGAGACACGGUCCAGACUCCUACGGGAGGCAGCAGUGGGGAAUAUUGGACAAGGGGCGCAAGCCUGAUCCAGCCAUACCGCGUGGGUGAAGAAGGCCUUCGGGUUGUAAAGCCCUUUUGUUGGGAAAGAAAAGCAGCAGGUUAAUACCCCGCUGUUCUGACGGUACCCAAAGAAUAAGCACCGGCUAACUUCGUG
rnacentral:rRNA from 1 species